rnacentral:rRNA from 1 species
GAUGAACGCUGGCGGCGUGCCUAAUACAUGCGAGUCGAGCGAACAGAUGAGGAGCUUGCUCCUCUGACGUUAGCGGCGGACGGGUGAGUAACACGUGGAUAACCUACCUAUAAGACUGGGAUAACUUCGGGAAACCGGAGCUAAUACCGGAUAAUAUAUUGAACCGCAUGGUUCAAUAGUGAAAGACGGUUUUGCUGUCACUUAUAGAUGGAUCCGCGCCGCAUUAGCUAGUUAGUAAGGUAACGGCUUACCAAGGCAACGAUGCGUAGCCGACCUGAGAGGGUGAUCGGCCACACUGGAACUGAGACACGGUCCAGACUCCUACGGGAGGCAGCAGUAGGGAAUCUUCCGCAAUGGGCGAAAGCCUGACGGAGCAACGCCGCGUGAGUGAUGAAGGUCUUCGGAUCGUAAAACUCUGUUAUUAGGGAAGAACAAAUGUGUAAGUAACUAUGCACGUCUUGACGGUACCUAAUCAGAAAGCCACGGCUAACUACGUG